rnacentral:rRNA from 1 species
GACGAACGCUGGCGGCGUGCUUAACACAUGCAAGUCGAACGGAAAGGCCCUGCUUUUGUGGGGUGCUCGAGUGGCGAACGGGUGAGUAACACGUGAGUAACCUGCCCUUGACUUUGGGAUAACUUCAGGAAACUGGGGCUAAUACCGGAUAGGAGCUCCUGCUGCAUGGUGGGGGUUGGAAAGUUUCGGCGGUUGGGGAUGGACUCGCGGCUUAUCAGCUUGUUGGUGGGGUAGUGGCUUACCAAGGCUUUGACGGGUAGCCGGCCUGAGAGGGUGACCGGCCACAUUGGGACUGAGAUACGGCCCAGACUCCUACGGGAGGCAGCAGUGGGGAAUAUUGCACAAUGGGCGGAAGCCUGAUGCAGCAACGCCGCGUGCGGGAUGACGGCCUUCGGGUUGUAAACCGCUUUCGCCUGUGACGAAGCGUGAGUGACGGUAAUGGGUAAAGAAGCACCGGAUAAAUACGUG